UUCCCUCGUCCCCCUUUCCCUCCCCUCCCCUCCCCCCCACCAAAAAUGACGACCUCCCCCACCCUUCGACCUCCGCCUCAGGUCCUGGGGGUCGAGUACCAGCUCCUGGGACACCCUCGGAGGAGUCGGCUCCCGCUGGCUGCUCCUUGAGGACGACGACGUGUUCCUGCCUCCCUCGGCCGCGCUGCCCAGGCCCUCGCUGCCGGAUAUAGAGCUCAGCGUGCGGCCGUUCCAGUAUUGUGAGUGGUGUGGCCGACCACUCGUUCGGAGAAGCCCCUUCAACUGCUCGUGCCCCCGCGACGAGGACAGCGGCAGCGUGGGGUCAUGCAGCCCCCCUCCUCCCCCCUGGCUGCCGUCCCCCCGGCCCCGC